ensembl:snRNA
AUAAAGGACUUCUCUUGUGAGCAGCAUGUGUAGGACAGUUCCAUAUCUCUUCUUGCAGAAUUGACAUCAAGAGAUUUUAGAAGCAUGAUUUUUGUACCUGGGCAGCUGGUGAUUGUUGGUCUCAGUGCCUCC